rnacentral:lncRNA from 1 species
GUAACUGUAUUGUAGCUUUGGGUCAGUGGUUGGGCUAUGAAUUUAUGAAUAUCAAACUGUUGUGUCUGGUCAACAUUGCAGACUCCUCGAAUUGUCUCCUUACCGUCUGAGUCUUACAACCUACCAAGACAACACCGAACCAAACCUUCCGCAUACAGAAGAAAAACAUUCCUUGCAAUAAAAUUAAAAUUGAUACAAAAACUACAACAUCCAUAGGGAAGCAUCAAAACACUUCAAAAAGAUAACCACAAUGACACUUGCGUACACCACAGCUCAUAACACAAAUCGAAAAAGAGAUCAACUUCAAGACAUCAUCUCAUGUUAUCAAUUUGUGAGCAUCCUUUAGAAAUUAAAUAAACACCAUAAAAGAAGCAUCCAACAAAUUGGCAGCAAUGCAGUAACUGCAAACCUAUUGCCUCCGUGACUCUUUAAUUACAACCCCAAAUAUCAUAUGCCAAAACAAGGAGCAACAUCAAAAUCUUCAUAAUUAAACACUCUUGAAAGUUGCCUACACACCCUCUUUACUCAUCCUUAGGUUAAAACAUGUUCUUAUCACCCCUAAACACCACCAGUCAAAAUCAUAUCUUACUCGAGUUGAAAACACCUCCUAGUUGAAGAGAAGACAAUCGAAAUCAUCCUUAACCCACCAACCCUUAUCCAACAUCGAUCAAGAGGACACUAAACAUGAUUCCAUAAUAAGCUUGUUAAAAUCCCUCAAGAAAGGAAAGCCGGAUCAGCAGCAUUCAACAGUGUUCCUCAUCAGUUAUGGCCGUCGAUGAUGAACCUCAGCCCCCUCAGCCUUACGAGUUCACAUCCUGAUUUCGCUUGGAUUUCGUUUCGAUGAUAGUUUUUAGAGACGAUUUGUGUUCAGUCACAUUCUUUAGUUCUGGAGUUCUCUACUAAAUCAGUUACAUUCUUUCUAAUGUUCUUUCUAGGAAAAUCUUGUCAUAUACAUGCUCAACCAUUAGGGAAUUUGACUUUGUUGCCUAAUUUCUUUUUGUUGAUGUUCUCAAUUCUUUUCAUAUUUUUUUAAAAUCAUAUAUAUAUAGGUUACAACAAUGUGGCAUAGCUUUUAAAUCAUUAUUUGUCACGAUAAUAAUAUUUCGCAUGUUGAUUAUAUUUAAAAAAUUAAUUCAAGAUAAAUUCCUUAUAAAUAUUGUCAUGUAAUUGUUGAUGCUCUAAAUGUUGAUAUGCAUGAAUAUAUUAAAUAUGCACUAAAAAUGUAAAAUUAAAAUUAAUUAUAAGAAAUAUAAACUAUAAAGCAAAUUGAAGCAAAUAUAUAGUAAAAUUUUCAACUUAAAAUAUAUAUUUAAAACUUAAAGUAUAUUAUUAAAGACGCAUUUUAAUAAAGAUUGAUUAAAGUAAAUAUAUUUCAAAUUUUUAAUUAAUUUAAACAAAAUCAAUUAUAAAAAAAUUAUUAUUUUCUUUUUCAAACCCUAACAAAUUUAUGGGAAAAUUGAAUGUUCCAUAUUCGUAUCCUUAGAAAGGAAAUGCUGGGGUAUUAUGGGAAAAGAAAUAUUGACAAAUAGUCUCACAAGUCAAGGACGAAAAUGAUUCUUCUCUUUAAGGACAAAAGCAAGACCUAAGAAAGUAUACCAUAAAGCGUGGAGUAAAGUGAAGCAAACUCGAGGGUUUUCUUGUAAUGGAUGUGAGUGAGUGUGAGAGUAGGACAGAGGGGGAAACCGUGGAACUUCAACAUUUCAGUCAUCCACAUCCUUUGGUCUCCUUCAAAUAUCAGACUGUUGCACGCGAAGAAGUAGACCCAGAAGCAGCUCUUUGCCUUGGGUGUGAGAAACCUGUAGAGGGCUGGAGCUAUGGCUGCAAUCAAUGUGAGUUUUAUCUUCACAAGGGAUGUGCUGAGUUAGACUUAGCCCCCAAGAUUCAGCAUCCCUUCCACCCCGAACACCCUCUCACUCUUCUGCCAAAAUCACCUUAUUCUGGGGGCUUAACCGCGUGCAGUUUUUGUGGUAAGAAUUUUGAGGGAUUUGUUUAUAAUUGUUUUGAUUGUGAGUUCGAUCUGCACAUCAAUUGUGCUUUGCUUCAAUCAUCCAUUGCUACAAAUUUUCCUCAUUCUUUGCACCACCAUCCUUUAGACUUCAUUCAAAACCAUAACGAGGAAGUUGAGCGCGAUUGCUCCGGAUGUCAGAAACCAUUAUCUGGUCCAAUUUACCAUUGUUUAGAUUGUUCUUAUCCUACAUUCUUUACUCUUCAUAAGGAAUGCGUUGAACUACCCCUAGAAAUUAAUCACCCCUGUGACCGUAAGCAUCCCCUUACUCUUUUGCCUCAACGACCUGCACAUCCCGAGAAAUGUAGUUGCUAUUUGUGCAAAAUCCAAUGGAGCGGGUUUGUUUAUUCCUGCUCGCUUUGCAACUUUGAGCUUUCAGUUGAUUAUAUUUUUUCACCACCAACAAUCACCAAUGCAAGCCAUGAACACCCGUGGAUGCUUAUAUCCAAAAAAAUGUCAUUUAUUUGUGAUUUUUGUGGCAUUGUCGGAGAUCACUCUCCCUAUCUUUGUGCUACAUGCAACCUUGCUGUACACAAGAAUUGCAUUUCAUUGCCACGCAACAUCAGGAUAACACGACAUUGUCACGUGAUUUGUUUUUCAUAUUCUUUUCAACAAAAUCAAGUUGAAGAUUGUAUGUGCAGAAUUUGUUUCACGGAAGUUGAUACAAGUUAUGGUAGGUAUUGUUGUUCUGCUUCUGGUUGUGAUUAUAUUGCUCAUGCACAUUGUGCAACCAAUAAAUCAAUUUGGGAUGGAACAAUUAUCAAGGAAGGCUAUGAUGAGAGGCUUGGACCUUCGAAUUUGAUCACUGAUGUUAUUGAACAAAUAAGUAUUGAAGAGAUUAUGGUAGCAAGUAAGAUCAAACAUUCCUACCAUCAUCAUAAUUUAAGACUCACUUUUAGUGGUGAGAUCAAAGAUGAUAGCCAGUGUGAUGGGUGCAUGAGGCCUAUAUCAACUCCUUUUUAUAGUUGUGAGCAAUGCAAGUUCUUUCUCCACAAAGAUUGCGUUGAAUUGCCUAAAGAAAUGCCACACCCAUUUCACAAGCAUUUGCUUACUCUCUCAAACUCCCACGAUGAGAAUGGUUGUUCAUGGUGCACUACUUGCCGUCGUCUGUAUCAAGGAUUUAGGUACAGAUGCUACAAAGGAGAUUGCUACUUCGAAAUUGACAUUCAAUGUAUGUUAUUGUCGGACACCUUGAAGCACCCAAGUCAUGAGCAUUCACUCGUUCUUGUCCACAACGAGGGAACGAGCUGCAGUGCUUGUUUCAAAAAUUUACUAUCAAUGGAUGUUGCAUAUAGAUGCAUGAAGCGCUGUGAUUUUAGUUUAGAUGUAGGUUGUGCAUCACUACCACUCACUGCUUGGUACAAGUAUGACAGGCAUGCUCUUACAUUGACUUUUUCUGAUGAUUCUGAGCCUUCUCAACUUUACUGCGAUCUCUGCGAGAAAGAAAGCCAAAUUGUUGGUUUUACUACUGUGCUGAUUGUGAUAACUCUCUUCAUCUCAAUUGUGCUCUUGGGGAUCUCCCAUAUAUGAAGCUUGGGAACAAAAUCAAAGGUACAGGUCAUCGACAUCCACUCACUGUUGUGAAAAACAUCUGGAAUUGCCCUCCAUGUAAGGUAUGUGGUGAGGUUUGCAAUGGACAGGCCCUAGAAUGUAAAGAAUUUGAAUGCAACUUUACCGUCCAUUCGGUUUGCUGUUGGUUUCUCUAUGAAUCAUCUGAAUGAUAUUCCACUCAGUUUAAGAAACAGAGAAAGCACAAUACGAGAGGUGUGUUGUGUUGUGUGGAAGGGUGUAGCAGAUUUGGUAAAAAUGGGUGAUGGCCUUAGUUGUUGUAUUUUGCAUUAUGUUAUGUUUAUGAUAGUUGUUUGCGCAGUAGAAGGUUGUGAUAGAUGAAACAUGUAUCUGUAUCUUUCACUUUUUUAUUUGAUUCUUAUCCUUUCAACUUUUAUCUAAAAUUAUUGAUGAGAAGAAAAUAUUUUUAUUAUCUUUCUAUUCCUCCAUUCUUAAAAAUUGUGAGUGAAUGUUAAGACCAUGAAAUGUAUAAAUGGUUUCUUAAUUUUAUUUAUUUAUAAAUCUUAAAUUUAAAAUUUGAAGAUCGAAUUUGGUAUAUCUUAUUAUUUUUAAAAAGUGAAAAUAUAUGAAAUUUGUGAAAUAAAUUGAUCAAGAUUUUGUGAUCUUAAAUCAACCAGUCAUAAAAAAAAAUGUACGUCUGUUUUAGUUUUAGAAUUUAGAUUAAUUUUAUAUUACUUAAUCAGUAAACAUUUGUACUCCAUAUUCAAAAUAAUAUUAUUAUGCCUAAAUUCUAGAAAAUAAUUUUUUCUUUAUUUUAGAUUUUAUCCUAAAUUUUUUGAAUCUUCCACCAGAUUUUAUUGUAAUUUCAUUUUAAAGAUAAAUCAACAUUUUUCACAACUUAAAAAGGAAUAAAGUCAAUUUAAGCAAAAAAAUCCUUUUUUUUCCCUUUGCCCUCAAAAUAUCAAGAAAAACCCCCUUUCUUUUAUUUUGGAAAGAAAGAGAAACCUGUAGAGGGCUGGAGCUAUGCCUGCAAUCAAUGUCGGUUUUUUCUUCACAAGGGAUGUGCUGAGUUAGAGUUAUCCCCCAAGAUUCAGCAUCCCUUCCACCCUCUCACUCUUCUGCCAAAAUCACCUUAUUCUGGGGGCAUAACCGCGUGCAGUUUGUUUGGUAAGAAUUUUGAGGGAUUUGUUUAUAAUUGUUUUGAUUGUGAGUUCGAUCUGCACAUCACUUGUGCUUUGCUUCAAUCAUCCAUUGCUGCAAAUUUUCCUAAUUCUUUGCACCCCCAUCCUUUACACUUCAUUCAAAAUCAUAACAAGGAAGUCGAGCCUGAUUGCCCGGGGUGUCGGAAACCAAUAUCUGGUCCAUUUUACCACUGUUCAGAUUGCACUUGUCCUAAAUUGUUUUAACCUUCAUAAGGAAUGUGCUGAACUACCCCUUGAGAUUAAUCACCCCUGUGACCGUAAGCAUCCUCUUACUCUCUUGUCACAACCGCCUACUCAUCCCAAGAAAUGUAGUUGCUAUUUGUGCAGAAUCUAUGCAACUUUGAUCUUUCACUUGAUAGUUUUCUUUUUUCACCACCAAAAAUCACAGUUGCAAGUCAUGAACACGCGUGGAUGCUUGUAUCUAGAAAAAUGUGGUUUGUUUGUGAUUUUUGUGGCACUGACGGAGAUCACUCCCCCUAUUUGUACCCUAAACUUAAACUUUGCCCUCGCACUACCCAGUUCAAUCUAGGCUUAAUAUAAAAAUUGCCCCCUAAAUUAUAUUCAUUUUCUCAGAUAGGUAUCUAAACCAUUUUUUUGUCAAAUUGAGUACUUAAAGUAAUUUUUUCCCGCAUUGGUACGCUGUUGCCUGUUAGUUCUCCCUUAGUCAACCAUUAGUCAACAUUGUUCGAUGUUCAAUGAUGAUGUGGCCCAAUAAGUAAUAAGCACGUGGAAAAAAAGCCACAUAAGUAAACCAUCUCAUUCUUUGUAUAAAAAAAGCCACAUAAGUAAAUCAUCUCAUAAUUAAAAAUAAUAUUAAGAAAUAUUUUCACACCCUGUUACUCUCCCACAGUCCCCUACCAUCCUCACCCAACCCUUUCCCUCUGCUAACCCUUCAAUUAUAUUUUCAUAAAAAAAAAAAUCCUCCUUUUUUUCUUCAACAUUGAUUCUUUGUCUCACAAUUCCAUUUAAAUCCAUCCACCACAUGUUUGGGAAAAUGACCCUCAAAAAAAUAGAUUUUAAGCCUGAAAUUGGUGUUUUCCUUUUCAUGUAUUGGAUUUGCUUUCUUAUAGUAGGAUUAUAAGUUUGUGGGUGAAGGUUUUGUAUUUGUUAGUUUGGUUUAGUGGACUCUUAAUUUUAUUUAUGGCCUUCUUCCAAUUCGGAAUUUUGUUUGUACUCUGAAUCUCUAAAGUGCAAAUAACCAAAUUAAGCAUCUUUAAUGUACCAAUUGGUUUGUGUCUUUUACAGAAAAAUAAAUUUUCUAAUUUUUUUUUAUUUUGCCACAUGCCUAUUAGUGAUUGAGCCACAUCAUCAUUGACUAAGUUGAUUAAUGGUUGACUAACGAAGGACUAACGAGGUACAAACGUAAGAAAAAAUAUGGUUUAGAUACUCAAAUUGAUCAAAAAAGUGUUUAGGUAAUUAUUUAAGCAAAUGAGUAUAUUUUAAAGGACAAUUUUAAUAUUAAGCCUUCAACCUAUAAAUAGAUUUAUUUAUAAUUGAUUUAAUUUAAUAUGAUCUAAUUCAAAUUAAUUGUAAAACACAUUUAAUGACUUAAUUUUUAGUCACAAAUGAUAAACUUCUACAACAUAGUUUUUUAGUUCAAAUUGGUACUUUCAAAUAACUAAGUAUUAAUUUAGAUAAUAAAAAAUCAAAUUCGGGUAUUAAUUUAAAUCAAGAAGCUAAGUUUAGGUACUUAAUUUGACCAAAAUACCAAAUGGAACUUUGAAUUCAUGUUCAAGUACCUAAUUGGAAAAACAAAACCUUAGGUAUCAAUUUGAACUCUGAAGCUAAGUUCAAGUAUCAAAAUAUAUAUUUCCCUUACUUUUCCAAUCAAUAAUAAUUCUAGUGAUUAUGUUGAAAGUAAACCUUAAUUUUUGGUCACCGACAACCACAAUCCUUUUUGCAUUAUUUCUCAAUUUUUAGUUCAUAAACGAUCAAGAAUACCUUUUUUUUAUAGUGAUUAUGUUGUGAUUUCCUAUAAAAUUCUCUUUUUAUUUGCAAGGAAUCUACAACUCUAGUGUGAAUCAGGGACAUUGUCUUUGAUCGCAGGGUGUUCGCCGAAAUGCUUGACACAAGCAUGCCGGCGUGGGAAGCUAUCAGCUCUGAUGAACUUAAAUCCCACCGCCUCUUCCAUAGGCGCCAACAUAUGAAUAACUAUUCCUAAAACGAGGUCAGCCAUGCCAAUUCCAUUAAAAAGAGGCCUAAGCUAAGCUACCAAGCAAAGAGGAAGAAGAAAAGAUGGUUUCAGGGUGAGGCAUGGGCUCCAAAAGGGUAGCGGUGGAUGCAAGGCAUCACAUGCUGGGAAGGUUGGCUUCCAGAUUGGCAUGGUCUCAUCCAGUUUCCUGCUCCUCUAACACCCUCUGGCGUACCAUUCGUGGGUGCGUUUUUCUUUUCGAGAGUUUUUUUUCCCUUUUAGUGUGUUUUCGUAGUUCUUUAUUUGGUCUGUGAAGGAAAAGGAUGGAAAUUUCUGGGCUUUUGAUGCUUGGUAAUUUAGGAAGCCUUUAUUAUAAACUUUUUGAGAGAUUUUUUCUAUUUAUUUGAAGUUCUAUGAUUUGGAUAUUGGAAUAUAUAUUGCAAAAGAACCAAAGGAAUCUGUGUGUUUAGUUAUGUUUGAUAUCAAAAUUAAUAAUGAGAGUUUGCUAUUGAUUUUUCUUAUUAGAGAUCCGUGUGUUUGUUAUAGUUGGUUAUUGGUAAAAUGUAGGGACGAAGUGAAAGAGAGUAGAAUGAGUGUGCUUGAGGUUAUUAUUGUUGGAUUGAGAGAAAACUAAUAGCUGACAAGGUCUAUGAAUCUUAUGGUGCAAAGGCAAUGCGUUUGGCUUCAGCAUAUAUGUAGUGAAGUAUAUAACUGGGCUUCAUUUUGACUUUUCUUAUGGUAAUUGAUAGUUGUUUUGAUUGCAGGAUGAUUCCUCGCAAAGACUAAGGACGGAGUGGCAGCUUUCGCUGGUUUGAAAUUGAAGGCUAAUGAGGGGAUUCCUGCACCAUAUGAUAAGACUAAGAGAAUGGUUAUUCCUGAUGCUCUCAAGUUUUGCAGUAGUUGGUUUCUUUCGCGGAAUUUAGAAUUUGGUUUUCUUACUUGCUUCUGUGGAUAGUUAGUCAUGCUCAAUGUUUUUAUUGUUCUUUCGGUUUUUUUAAAUUAGGGUUUUGAGGUUUCAGAAAGGAGACAAAUUGGUGGAGAAAAUAGCAUUACCCUGGAGUAAAUAUGAAAUAUAACAUUGAACGCUUUUAUGUAGGUUAUCCAACACGCUGAAUGCUUAGGACUUGGUUUGGAGCUUUAGGAACUACUGAUUAAGAAGUUUAUGAAGACAUCAAAAGAGUCAUUUCAUUGGUUUGGCAGUUCUAGGACUUGGUUGUCCUUUACUCAGAGCCAGAGCAGGUAGGUUCUGUUUUUACUCGGCUGUUUGUGAUUGAUGUUUGUUGCACCUUUUCCCCUCUCUUUUUGUAACUGUAUUGUAGCUUUGGGUCAGUGGUUGGGCUAUGAAUUUAUGAAUAUCAAACUGUUGUGUCUGGUCAACAUUGCAGACUCCUCGAAUUGUCUCCUUACCAUCUGAGUCUUACAACCUACCAAGACAACACCGAACCAAACCUUCCGCAUACAGAAGAAAAACAUUCCUUGCAAUAAAAUUAAAACUGAUACAAAAACCACAACAUCCCAAAACACCUCAAAAAGAUAACCACGACGACACUUGCAUACACCACAGCUCAUGACACAAAUCGAAAAAGAGCUCAACUUCAAGACAUCAUCUCAUGUUAUCAAUUUGUGAGCAUCCCUUAGAAACUAAAUAAACACCAUAAAAGACGCAUCCAACAAAUUGGCAGCAAUGCAGUAACAGCAAACCUAUUGCCUCUGUGAGUCUUUAAUUACAACCCCAAAUAUCAUAUACCAAAGCAAGGAGCAACAUCAAAACCUUCAUAAUUAAACACUCUUGAAAAGUUGCCUACACACCCUUUUUACUCAUCCUUAGGUUAAAACAUGUUCUUAUCACCCCUAAACACCACCAGUCCAAAUCAUAUCUUACUCGAGUUGAAAAACCUCCUGGUUGAAGAGAAGACAAUCGAAAUCAUCCUUAACCCACAAACCCUUAUCCAACAUCGAUCAAGAGGACACUGAACAUGAUUCCAUAAUAAGCUUGUUAAAAUCCCUCAAGAAAGGAAAGCUGGAUCAGCAGCAUUCAACAGUGGUCCUCAUCAGUUAUGGCGGUCAAUGAUGAACCUCAGCCCCCUGAGCCUUUCGAGUUCACAUCCUGAUUUCGCUUGGAUUUCAUUUCGAUGAUAGUUUUUAGAGAUGACUUGUGUUCCGUCACAUUCUUUUGUUCAGGAGUUCUCUACUAAUCAGUUACAUUCUUUCUUAUGUGCUUUCUAUUUGUACGGAAAAUCUUGUCAUAUACAUGCUCAACCAUUAGGGAAUUCAAUUUUGUUGCUGAUACGAACUCGGUUGCAUCAUGUUACGACACAACUGGACGGCAUCGGCAUUGGCCCAAACACGAGGGUCCCAAGUGCAAAAUGAAGUGUUAAUUCGAGUUUGUUAAUUUGGUUGCUGGAAAAAAUGAGGAUGACUAUUACUUCUAGAUUUCUUAGCUAUAGUUUAAUUGCUGGAAUAAAAGUUAAUUCGGUUUUAGUUAAUUAGUUAAUUAAUUAGUUAAGUUCCAUAAAUAUGUCAUGGUUUAAACAUCAAUAAUUAGAAUUUAAAUUUGUCAAAAAAUAUGGACAUUUUAAAUGUGUUUUAAGUUCAUUAAUUCUGUCCAAAAUUCAUACUGCUUUAAUAUGAGAUUUAACUUGGUCUUAGUUUAGAACAAAUUAAAUAGGUCUUAAUUUAGACAACUUAAUUGUGACUCACUUCCAGACCAAUUAAUUGUGUCUAACAUUCAGCUUUUAUGUUGCAUUAAACCGAUCUUUAAAUAUGUUUUGUAGGUUGGCUGAAUAGGCUGCCCAUCAACCAAUACAUUGGACGGCAUUAAAGGGACAGCAUGCACCUGGACGUACAUGCACCUAGCACCUGCUGUUUGCUCUCCUCCAAGCAUCUCCUCGUGGAAGCAAUAGCCAAGAGUGUCCCAAUUUGUUUCAUCAGCUGAUUAAUUCGGUUCACACAUAAUUGUCCAGCCAAUUCGAGCCAUUCACACCUAGUUGACCAUUCAUUGCCGGCUUUUCACCUUUGAUGGCUGUCCAUGCGCCACCAACAGUCACAAUUUAAUUAAAGCUUGUUUGGCUGCCCAAGGGAGGUUAAUGCAUGUUCAUUCAACUUAGCUGAUAAGGAACUUGUUAGAUUCAGCUAAUUUUCUAAAUACAUUUAGCUGACCAUUCGAGAACAGCAAAGGUUAAGGAUGUCGGCGUGUCCAAUGAUUGGAUGCAUUCAUUUGCUGACUCAAUUACUCCAGCUCAAGAACCGAAUUUAUCCAGAUGAAUUACUCAGCUAUUUCGUCAGUCCAUGGCUGUUACUCCAGCUCAAGAACCGAAUUUAUCCAGAUGAAUGCUCAGCAAUUAAGUCAGUCCAUGACUGUUCGGGCAUAGCAAGAGCCAGCUGAUCAUUAAGCUAAACAUUGGAUAAUUUCAACUGGAAUUUAAGUUAACAUUUGUGUUUAAUUAAUUGUUAUAAAUUGAGGCUAUUCGGCUGGACCUAUGUGAGCUUAUAAAUAGCUUAUUGUAAACCGUUUAGAAGGUUACUUAACUUUGAAAUUUUAUGAAUAUUAAGCCUUGAGUUAUUCAACUCUUGUAAGAGUUGUUCGUUUGAGACUCGAUUGACUUAUCUAGCUCCGUCUAGUGGCGUCAACCCGAUUCUUGUUUGAACUUAUCACUUCCAGCAAGUGUGGCGUUCAUCCUAUACCGUAGGUUCCUAUCUCUUUAGAUAGUGGGUCUCGGUUUACUAUCUUUUUAUCCAAUUUCAUUUCCAAGUGUUGAUAUAAAAAUUGGGUCGAUAUUCACCUUUAAUAUCGGUCCAUUCUUCAAACUUGUUUUACCCAAACUUAGCAGAAACUAUCACAUAUUAACCUUUACAAAUAUACCAACUUAAAAGCCUUCUUGUUUCAGCCUUCAAAUACGAUACUUCUCAAUUUACGAUCGGAAAACUUAGCAACACGUAAUCAACUCCAAGCACGGGUUCGCAUCAGUUGCCUAAUUUCUUUUCAUUGAUGCUUUGCUCUCAAUUCUUUUCACAUUUUUUUCAAAUCAUAUAUAUAGGUUAAAACUAUGUGGCAUAGCUUUUAAAUCACUAUUUAUUAUGAUAAUAAUAUUUCACAUGUUGAUUAUAUUUAAAAAAAUUAAUUCAAAGUAAAUUCCUUAUAAAUAUUGUCAUGUAAUUUUUGAUGCUCUAAAUGUUGAUAUGCAUGAAUAUAUUAAAUAUACACUAAAAAUAUAAUAUUAAAAUUAAUUAUAAGAAAUAUAAACUAUAAAGCAAAUUGAAGCAAAUAUUUAGUAAAAAUUUGAACUUAAAAUAUAUAUUUAAAACUUAAAACAUAUUAUUAAAGACGCAUUUUAAUAAAGAUUGAUUAAAUUAAAUAUAUUUCAAAUUCUUAAUUAAUUUAAACAAAACUCAAUUAUUAAAAACAAAUUAUUAUCUUUUUCAAACUCUAACAAAUUUAUGGGAAAAUUGAAUGUUCCAUAUUAUUAUCCUUAGAAUGGAAAUGCUGGGGUAUUAUGGGAAAAGAAAUAUUGACAAAUAUGCUCACAAGUCAACGACGAAAAUGAUUCUUCUCUUUUAAGGACAAAAGCAAGACCUAAGAAAGUAUACCACAAAGGGUGGCGUAAAGUGAAGCUAACUCAAGGGUUUUCUUGUAAUGGAUGCGAGUGAGUGUGAGAGUAGGACAGAAGGGGAGACCAUGGAACUUCAACAUUUCAGUCAUCCACAUCCUUUGGUCUCCUUUAAAUAUCAGACUGUUGCACGCGAAGAAGUAGACACAGAAGCAGCUCUUUGCCUUGGGUGUGAGAAACCUGUAGAGGGCUGGAGCUAUGGCUGCAAUCAAUGCGAGUUUUAUCUUCAUAAGGGAUGUGCUGAGUUAGAGUUAGCCCCCAAGAUUCAGCAUCCAUUCCACCCCAAACAUCCUCUCACUCUUCUGCCAAAAUCACCUUAUCCUGGGGGCAUAACCGUGUGCGAUUUGUGUGGUAAGAAUUUUGAGGGAUUUGUUUAUAAUUGUAACGAUUGUAUUUUCUAUCUGCACAUCAAUUGUGCUUUGCUUCAAUCAUCCAUUGCUGCAAAUUUUCCUAAUUCUUUGCACCACCAUCCUUUACACUUCAUUCAAAACCAUAACGAGGAAGUUGAGCGCGAUUGCUCCGGAUGUCAGAAACCAUUAUCUGGUCCGAUUUACCAUUGUUUAGAUUGUUCUUAUCCUACAUUCUUUACUCUUCAUAAGGAAUGCGUUGAACUACCCCUAGAAAUUAAUCACGCCUGUGACCGUAAGCAUCCCCUUACUCUUUUGCCCCAACGACCUGCACAUCCCGAGAAAUGUAGUUGCUAUUUGUGCAAAAUCCAAUGGAGCGGGUUUGUUUAUUCCUGCUCGCUUUGCAACUUUGAGCUUUCAGUUGAUGAUAUUUUUUCACCACCAACAAUCACCAAUGCAAGCCAUGAACACCCGUGGAUGCUUAUAUCCAAAAAAAUGUCAUUUAUUUGUGAUUUUUGUGGCAUUGUCGGAGAUCACUCUCCCUAUCUUUGUGCUACAUGCAACCUUGUUGUCCACAAGAAUUGCAUUUCAUUGCCACGCAACAUCAGGAUAACACGACAUUGUCACGUGAUUUGUUUUUCAUACUCUUUUCAACAAAAUCAAGUUGAAAAUUGUAUGUGCAGAAUUUGUUACACGGAAGUUGAUACAAGUUAUGGUAGGUAUUGUUGUUCUGCUUCCGGUUGUGAUUAUAUUGCUCAUGCACAUUGUGCAACCAAUAAAUCAAUUUGGGAUGGAACAAUUAUCAAGGAAGGCUAUGAUGAGAGGCAUGGACCUUCGAAUUUGAUCACCGAUGUUAUUGAACAAAUAAGUAUUGAAGAGAUUAUGGUAGCAAGUAAGAUCAAACAUUCCUACCAUCAUCAUAAUUUAAGACUCACUCUUAGUGGUGAAAUCAAAGAUGAUAGCCAGUGUGAUGGGUGCAUGAGGCCUAUAUCAAAUCCAUUUUAUAGUUGUGAGCAAUGCAAGUUCUUUCUCCAUAAAAAUUGCGCUGAAUUAUCUAAAGAAAUGCGACAUCCAUUUCACAAGCACUUACUUACACUCACAAACUCAAGCACGCUCGGUGACUUUUCAAGUUGUGAUGCCUGCAGUCAUUUGUACCAGGGAUUUAGCUAUCGGUGCUACAGAAGAGGUUGCAACCUCAACUUUGACAUUCGGUGUAUGUUAAUGUUGGACACCUUGAACCAUCCAAGUCAUGACCAUUCACUCUUACUUGAGCAUAACCAGCAAAGAAAUUGCAGUGCUUGUUCCGGAACAAUGGAACCAUGGAGAGUUGCAUAUAGAUGCAUGAAGCGUUGUGAUUACACUUUAGAUGUAGGUUGUGCAACACUACCACCCACUGCUUGGUACAAGUAUGACAAACAUCCUCUUACUCUGACUUAUUCUGAUGAUUCUGAACCUUCUCAACUUUACUGCGAUCUCUGUGAGAAAGAAAGGCAGCCGAAUAGUUGGUUUUACUAUUGUGUUGAUUGUGAUAACUCUCUUCAUCUCAAUUGUGCUCUUGGGGAUCUCCCAUAUAUGAAGCUUGGGAACAAAAUAAAAGGUACAGGUCAUCAACAUCGACUCACUGUUGUGAAAAACAUCUGGAAUUGUCCUCCAUGUGAGAAAUGUCGUGAGCUUUGCAACGGACGUGCCCUAGAAUGUAAAGAAUUUGGAUGCAACUUUACCAUACACUGGAAUUGUUGUUGGUAUUUGACCUUCUAGGACUCUGGUGAACCAUUUCAAUGAUACUCCACUCAAGUUUACCAGACAGAGAAGUCGCAACUUCACAUGUCUGUUCUGUCCAUCUGCAUGCAUGUACCUGAUUUGCCAACAAGGGCUCAUGUCCGUUUGUUUUUCUUAAUUGCUUUUUAUUAUGUUAUUGUUGUCUAAGAACUUAAACCUUGUUUAAAUCAAACAUGAUUUCAGGCUAGUCAUGAGACUUCUUUUAGGGUAAAUAUACAUUUUGAUGCCUGAAUUUGGCUCUAAGGUUCACAUUGGUACCUGAACUUGACGUCUCGGUUCAAAUUGGCUUUUAAGUCCAAAUUAGUACUAGAGUUAGAUGAGGUAUUUGAACCAAUUUUAACUAUGAAGUCAAGUUUGGUACUAAUUUGAACCAAUAUGACAAGUUCAAAUGCCUAAUUGAACAACAAAAAUUUAAGUACCAAAUUGAACCUUGAGGUUAAGUAUUUAUCAUUUUAAGUUUUUUAAUCAUUUGAAUAAAUGGAAAAAUAGCAAUUUUGGCCCUUUGUGAAAAUUAAUCAUAUAAUUUAAGCUCUUUUAGAGUGAAACUUUUAUCUUCGGUCUCAAAAUUUUAAAAUUUUGGCUUCGUCACUAUAAGAGACUAAAUCACAAGAAAAUGAGCAAAUCCUGAAGGGGCAGGUAGGGGACUGUUCAUAUAAAUGAUGAUAUUAUAAAUUAAUAUAUAGUAAAAUUUUAUUUUAGUCCUUUAAAAUAAAACAAUUCUAUUUAAUCCCUUUAAAUAUGAUAAAUUACAUUUUAACCUUUCAAAAAUUUACAUUUUAAUUUAUAAUUUUUCUAAUUUUUUCAUUUUGCCACAUGUCUAUUGGUGAUUGAGCCACAUCAUCAUUGACCAAGGUUAAUUAACGGCUGACUAACGAAGGACUAACGAGGUACAAAUGUAAGAAAAAAUAUAUAGUUUAGAUACUCAUAUUGAUCAAAAAAGUGUUUAGGUACUAAUUUAAGCAAAUAAGGAUAUUUUAAAGGACAAUUUUAAUAUUAAGCCUUCAGCCUAUAAAUAGAUUUAUUUAUAAUUAAUUUAAUUUAAUAUGAUCUGAUUCAAAUUAAUUGUUAAACACAUUUAAUGACUUAAAUUUUAGUCACAAAUGACAAACUUUUACAGCAUAGUUUUUUAGUUCAAAUUGGUACUUUCAAAUAACUAAGUAUUAAUUUAGAUAAUAAAAAAUCAAAUUCGGGUAUUAAUUUAAAUCAAGAAGCUAAGUUUAGGUACUUAAUUGGACCAAAAUACCAAAUGGAACUUUGAAGUCAUGUUCAAGUACCUAAUUGGAAAAAAGAAAAACCUUAGGUAUCAAUUUGAACUCUGAAGCUAAGUUUAAGUACCAAAAUGUAUAUUUCCCUUACUUUUCCAAUAACCAUUGAAUGCUCUCAUUUUUAUCUACCAGAUCGGAGCAAACACUAAUUAUUGACAGAAAAUAACAAUUCUAGUGAUUAUGUUUAAAGUAAAAUUUAAUUUUAUGUCACCGACAAUCACAAUCCUUUUUGCAUUAUUUCUCAAUUUUUAGUUCAUAAACGAUCAAGAAUACUUUUUUUUUACGGUGAUUAUGUUGAGAUUUCCUAUAAAAUUCUCUUUUUAUUUGCAAGGAAUCUACAACUCUACUGUGAAUCAGGGAAGCAUGCAGGCGUGGGAAGCUAUCAGCUCUGAUAAACUUAAAUCCCACCGCCCCUUCCAUAAGCGCCAACAUAUGAAUAACUAUUCCUUAAACGAGGUCAGCCAUGCCAAUUCCAUUAAAAAGAGGCCUAAGCUAAGCUACCAAGCAAAGAGGAAGAAGAAGAGAUGGUUUCAGGGUGAGGCAUGUGCUCUAAAAGGGUAGCGGUGGAUGCAAGGCAUCACAUGCUGGGAAGGUUGGCUUCCAUAUUAGCCAAGGAGUUGUUGAAUGGCCAAAAAAUAGUGGUGGUGAGAUCUGAAGAGAUAUGCAUGUGGGGUGGAUUGGUUAGCCAGAAGAUGAAUCUCAUGAGGUUUCUUAGGAAGCGUAUAAACACUAAGCCUUCUCAUGGUCUCAUCCAGUUUCCUGCUCCUCUAACAUCCUUUGGCGUACCAUUCGUGGGUGUGUUUUUCUUUUCGAGAGUCUUUUUCCCUUUUAGUGUGUUUUCAUAGUUCUUUAUUUGGUCUGUGAAUGAAAAGGAUGGAAAUUUCUGGGUUUUUUAUGCUUGGUAAUUUAGGAAGCCUUUAUUAUAAACUUUUUGAGAGAUUUUUUUCUAUUUAUUUGAAGUUCUAUGAUUUGGAUAUUGGAAUAUAUAUUGCAAAAGAACCAAUGGAAUCUGUGUGUUUAGCUAUGUUUGAUAUCAAAAUUAAUAAUGAGAGUUUGCUAUUGAUUUUUCUUGUUAGAGAUCUGUGUGUUUGUUAUAGUUGGUUAUUGGUAAAAUGUAGGGACGAAGUGAAAGAGAGUAGAAUGAGUGUGCUUGAGGUUAUUAUUGUUGGAUUGGGAGAAAACUAAUAGCUGACAAGGUCUAUGAAUCUUAUAGUGCAAAGGCAAUGCGUUUGGCUUCAGCAUAUAUGAAGUGAAGUAUAUAACUGGGCUUCAUUUUGACUUUCCUUAUGGUAAUUGAUAUUUGCUUUGAUUGCAGGAUGAUUCCUCGCAAAGACUAAGCAUGGAGUGGCAGCUUUCGCUGGUGUGAAUUGAAGGCUUAUGAGGGGAUUCUUGCACCAUAUGAUAAGACUAAGAGAAUGGUUAUUCCUGAUGCUCUCAAGUUUUGCAGUAGUUGGUUUCUUUCGCGGAAUUUAGAAUUUGGUUUUCUUACUUGCUUCUGUGGAUAGUUAGUCAUGCUCAAUGUUUUUUAAAUUGGUGGAGAAAAUAGCAUUACCCUGGAGUAAAUAUGAAAUAUAACAUUGAACGCUUUUAUGUAGGUUAUCCAACAUUGAAUGCUUAUGACUUGGUUUGGAGCUUCAAGAACUACUGAUGAAGAAGUUUAUGAAGACAUCAAAAGAGUCAUUUCAUUGGUUUGGCAGUUCUAGGACUUGGUUGUCCUUUACUCAGAGCCAGAGCAGGUAGGUUCUGUUUUUACUCGGCUUUUUGUGAUUGAUGUUUGUUGCACCUUUUCCCCCCUCUUUUUGUAACUGUAUUGUAGCUUUGGGUCAGUGGUUGGGCUAUGAAUUUAUGAAUAUCAAACUGUUGUGUCUGGUCAACAUUGCAGACUCCUCGAAUUGUCUCCUUACUGUCUGAGUCUUACAACCUACCAAGACAACACCGAACCAAACCUUCCGCAUACAGAAGAAAAACAUUCCUUGCAAUAAAAUUAAAACUGAUACAAAAACCACAACAUCCCAAAACACCUCAAAAAGAUAACCACAAUGACACUUGCGUACAGCACAGCUCAUGACACAAAUCGAAAAAGAGAUCAACUUCAAGACAUCAUCUCAUGUUAUCAGUUUGUGAGCAUCCCUUAGAAACUAAAUAAACACCAUAAAAGAAGCAUCCAACAAAUUGGCAGCAAUGCAGUAACAAACCUAUUGCCUCCGUGAGUCUUUAAUUACAACCCCAAAUAUCAUAUACCAAAACAAGGAGCAAUGUAAUAGCCCGAUUCUGGGCCUAGUCGGAAUAGUGGUUUCGAGACCACAAAUCCGACGAGGGAAAAUAUGGUUAUUAUAAUAUUUUUAUGGUCUACAAUUUCACGGAAAAUUUUCGUAAAAAUUUCGUUCGAAAAUUUCGACGUUUGGGCACUCAAUUUAGUCAAAAGGACUAAAUUGUAAAAAGUGCAAAAGUUGAGUUCUAUAUGUAGAAGUGUCUAAUUGAUAUGAAAUUAUAAGUUGGGCAUCCUUAUGUGGUAAUUAGACCAUUAGUAAUUGAUGGACAAAAUAGACAUAAGAAAUGAGAGAAAUAGAUUUUUUUAAGUGGGGGCAUUUUAGUCAUUUGGUUAUAAAAAGAAUAAAAUGGGAAAAAGAUGACAAAAAUCAUCAUCUUCUCCAUAAGUUGCUGCCGAAUUUUAAGGGACACCAUAGCUAAGGUUUCUUUGCUUUCUCAAGGUCAUAGUAAGUGUAUCAUAGCCCCGUUUUUAAUGUUCUUUGCAUUUUUGAAAUCCUCGUAGCUCGGUUUAGCUUAUUUUACUGUUAAUUCAUGUUAGGGUUUAUAUUUGGAAAAAUACCCAUAGGUGAAAAGUGUUUAUUCUGCUGUUUUAUGGUGGAAUAUGAAGCUAGAAAUUAUGUUAAACAACUUUUGCUAAGCGAUUUUAAACGAAAACGGGUAAAUUGACAUAAUCGGUAAAACUAGUUAAUGUUCAAAAGUAUGUGUUAGAGUGAGAAUUUGAUGUUGCCAUAGAAGGGAAAAAUAUUAAGCAUGUCAUAAGACAUAAGAAUAAGUGAUGAAAUUUAACUUCCGAGCUUGGGAACAAAAAUGUAAUUAUGCAAAAGUUUGGGGGCAAAAUUGUAAUUUUUCAAAAAGUUGGGUGGAGGAUUAUUUUAAUAAAUGUGAACCUUAAAUAAGUUAAAUUUGCUAUUAUAGAUCAAGAAAGACGAGAGGACUACCUCAAACGAGGAAAAGAAAAGAUAGUGGAAUAAAUUGCAAAAUUACGAUAUUUUGCACCGAGGUAAGUAAACACGUGACUUAAUGUAUUAUUUUGGUAUUAUUUGAUAUGUGUUGAGAUUUAUUUGAAUAUAAAAUAAAUGUUUGGCAAGAUUCCAAAAAUGUUGUUAAUUUGGGAAAGGUGGUAAGGAGUUGCAAAACACGGUUUUUGGUUGAACACUCGGAAUAGGCCGGAGCAUAUUGCAUAUAAAGGGGUUGCUGUGUGCUGAUUCCCCUAUUCAUUGGUGGUUGCUAAGUGCUGAUUCCACCGUAUUUUAAAUGUGGAAGGGGGUUGCUAAGUGCUGAUUCCCCCGAGGGGUUGCUAAGUGCUGAUUCCCCUACCUAUUGGUGGUUGCUAAGUGCUGAUUCCACCGUAUUUUAAAUGUGAAAGGGGGUUGCUAAGUGCUGAUUCCCCUGAGGGGUUGCUAAGUGCUGAUUCCCCUACCUAUUUGGUGGUUGCUAAGUGCUGAUUCCACCGCAUCUGAAAUGUGAAGGGGGUUGCUAAGUGCUGAUUCCCCCAAGGGGUUGCUGUGUGCUGAUUCCCCGAUUCAUUGGUGGUGCUAAGUGCGGAAUCCACCAACAACGGUUAACAUUCCGAGUGUUCAACGAGUAAAUUGAGAAGGUGAAUAUUCAUAUAUGUGGUGGACGAGUUUAUGGGAGGAAUAUCGGGUUUGAUACUUAAUCAACCCAUGUAUAAGAUGGGAGGAAAAAUCAAAAAUACAAAAGAAACAAUUUGAAUGCAAAACUGUUUUGAAUGGCAGCAGUUGGGCAACUUUGAAAAAUCACCAUAAAUGGUGAAAAAUGAAUUGGAGGUUGAAUAAAACAUGAAAUUGAAGCUGAAUGAGUCUAUUUUCAUAAGAAAUAAGUGGGGAAAGCAAAGGAAUUAUAUAUUUGAGGAUAUUUAAAUUUUACUGAGACAGGGUUGGAUUGAAUUCGAAAUCCCCUGUUCCAACUUUGGAAAAUCACCAAAGAUUCUAAAAAAAUAAUUAUGGCUUGAAAUUUAUAUUUCUGGAUUCCUUUUUGAGUCUAUUUUUAAUAGAAACAAACGAGAACAUUUUUUGAAACUUGUAUAGAGAGUUAUGUGAAUUUUUGUAAGGGGAGGUCAGGACUGUCGGGUAGUGAAACAGGGGAAACUUUAAUGAAUAAACUGUACUAAUUGGCCAACCAAAAAUUCCGAAAAUUUUAUGGUGGAAAUAUAUAUGAAUCUAGUUUCAGGGAAAAUUUACGGAAUCUGAUUUGGAGCCCUGUAGCUCCCGAUAAAAAUAAAUUAGUGACCAUGACGCAGAAAUACUGCUUGCUGGAAUUUGACCAAAUAAUGAAAUUUAUUUGUGAUAAAAGUUAUAUUUUGGUGUAAUCAUGUGGGAAAUUUAUCUACUUGUCAUAUGUUUACUUACUAAGCUAUAUGCUUACUUGCUUUUAUUUUUCCCUUGAUUAUAGUGAUAUCCAUCAACUUGGAAUUGGGACGGAGUCGGACAAUCAUCCACACUAUCAUCCGCGUUUGGGUAUUUUGCUACUGGUAUUCCGGAAAUUAUGGCAUGUAUAGACGACUUUAUGUAAUGUGGCGUCACUGUAUAUAUAUAUGUUAUGGUUCGAGCUAAAAUGUGGCGUUUAUAAAUAGUUAAAUUGUGUAUCUUUAUACAACUGUUUUGAUUGGAAAUUUGAAUUGUGGUUGGAAAUUGCAGGAGGUUUAAGCAAAAACAAGCAGAAAUGCUGUCGAAAUUUUUUUAAAAAAAAUUUAGUAAUACCUCGUACUCUGUUCCGGUAAGGAAUACGAGUAAAGGGUGUUACAUUUUAGUGGUAUCAGAGCUACGGUUUAGUCGGUUCUCGGGCCAAUAAAAUAUGUGUGAAAGUCAGUCUAUACAUGCCAUAAAUAUAUUGUGAUAGUGUGAUGAUUUCUGACAAUUUAAAAUUUUGUUUUAUAUAGUAAAUGGAUCCUGAGCGAAGUGUGACAGAUGAUGUUGAAAGUAACGCGCCGGCUCCCGGACAAGGGACCGCGCAUGAAGAGAGUAGACAUGAGACACAUGGACAGGAUGAGGCUCGGGAAGCCUUCCUCCGGAUGAUGAGUAUUGGUAUACAGAAUAUGUCCGUGUAAAUCCGAAUGUUCCACCUCCUCCACCCCCUCCUAUUCCUCAACCGGUCCCCGUAGCUCCACGAAGUGCUGAAUUGGUGAGAUCAAGUAAACCACCCGUUGACAGAAUUCGAAAGCAUGGGGCUGAAGAUUUCUGGGCUAAUGUUGAUGAUGAUUCGGAAAAAGUCGAGUUUUGGCUUGAAAAUACUAUCCGGGUAUUUGAUGAAUUAUCUUGUACUCCCGAGGAAUGUUUGAAAUGUGCUGUGUCUUUAUUAGAGGUGCUCAUGAGCCGAGCCGGGCCGGGUUCGAGCUAGGCCCAUAAAAAAAUUUCGGCCCGGAUCCUAGGCCGGGCCCGGCCCGGCCCGAAAUAUGGGCCUAAGAUUUUGCCCAGGCCCGGCCCGGGAAAAAAAUCAUAAGCCCGGGCCCGGCCCGGCCCGGCCCAUUUUUAUUUUAAAAAUUUUUAAAAAUUAAAAAAAGUAUUUUAAAAAUAUUUUAAAAUUAAAAAAAUUAAAAAAAGUAUUUUAAAAUUAAAAAAAUUAAAAAAAGUAUUUUAAAAAUAUUUUAAAAUUUAAAAAAAUUAAAAAAGUAUGUAAAAAAUAUUUUAAAAUUAAAAAAAUAAAUAUAUUUAUUAUAUCGGCCCGGCCCGGGCCGAAAAAGUGGUGCCCGAGGCCUGGCUCGUUUUCUAAACGGGCCUCGUUUUUUUGCCCAAGCCCAUAUUUCAGGCCUAUAUUUUUACCCAAACCCUCCCAUAUUUCGGGCGGGCCAUCGGGCCGGGCCGGGCCGCCCGGCCCAUGAGCACCUCUAGUCUUUAUUGAAGGAUUCGGCAUACCGUUGGUGGAAAACAUUAAUAACGGUGGUUCCAAAAGAAAGAGUUACUUGGGACUUCUUUCAGGAAGAAUUCAGAAAGAAAUAUGUAAGCCAACGGUUUAUUGAUCAGAAGCGCAAAGAGUUUCUCGGAUUGAAACAGGGCCGAAUGUCAGUAGCAGAAUAUGAAUUGGAGUUUGUCCGGCUUAGUAAAUAUGCCCAGGAAUGUGUGCCUACGGAGGCUAUUAUGUGUAAAAGAUUUGAAGAGGGGCUAAAUGAAGACAUCAGAUUGCAUGUUGGAAUUUUAGAGUUAAAAGAAUUUGUGGUAUUAGUUGAUUGUGCCUGCAAAGCUGAAGAGCUGAGUAGAGAAAAGAGAAGGGCAGAGAUGGAAGCUCGAGAUGUAAGGAAGAGGUCAAUGGGCAGAACAUUUCAAUCUCACCCGAAGAAGUUUAAAGGGAUGGAUCCACGACCAACUGGUUCAGUUGGGUAUUCACGUAGAGACCGAGGGAGGUCAUAUUCUGGAACUACAACUCGAGCUACCUCAGUGGCAAGUGUGGGUAAUGUAGGAAACACCAGACCUGAAUGUCAACAGUGUGGCAGGCGACAUACUGGUGAGUGUUGGGGAUUUAAAUGAGCUUGUUUCAGAUGUGGUUCCCAAGAGCAUUAUGUAAAAGACUGCCCUGAGAGAAUAGAAGAAGAAAAAUUACAAAGAGCUGGAUCGGGUGAUGUUGUCAGUAGAGGCAGACCACCGAGAAAUGUGGGAAGCAAAGCCAGUGGUAAGAGUGUGAUAAAAGAUGCAGCUGGAGGAUCAGAAACUAGAGCGCCUGCUAGGACUUAUGCCAUACGCGCUCGAGAGGAUGCCUCAUCUCCCGAUGUGAUUACUGGUACAUUUUCUCUUCAUGAUAUUGAUGUUAUUGCUUUGAUUGACCCGGCUCUACUCAUUCGUAUGUAUGCAUGAAUUUGGUAUCUAGUAAGAAAUUUCCUGUUGAAAACACUGAAUUUGUAGUUAAAGUAUCAAAUCCUUUAGGCAAAUGUGUCUUAGUCGAUAAGGUUUGCAAGAAUUGUCCCCUGAUGAUUCAAGGUCACUGUUUCCCGGCUAAUUUGAUGUUGUUACCAUUUGAUGAGUUUGAUAUUAUUUUGGGGAUAGAUUGGUUGAUAUUGCAUGAUGCCAAGGUAAAUUGUAGACAGAAAAUUCUUGAAUUAAAUUGUGAAAACGGUGAAAUUCUCCGGGUUGAAACAAAGGAGCUGAAUAAGUUGCCUAUGGUGAUCUCGCACAUGUCUGCUCAGAAAUACUUGAGAAAGGGAUGUGAAGUUUAUCUUGCUUAUGUGCUGAACACGGAUAUUACUGGGUCGAAGCUUGAAUCAGUGCCGGUAGUUUGUGAAUUUCCAGAUGUAUUUCCAGAGGAAUUGCCUGGGUUACCUCCGAUUAGAGAAGUUGAGUUUUCUAUUGAUCUGUUACCUGGUACUGCACCGAUUUCUAUUGCACCGUAUCGAAUGGCUCCGACUGAGUUGAAGGAAUUGAAAGCUCAGUUACAAGAGUUGACAGAUAAAGGAUUUGUGAGACCGAGUUUUUCUCCUUGGGGUGCUCCUGUGUUAUUUGUGAAAAAGAAGGACGGCUCUAUGAGACUUUGUAUUGACUAUCGUCAGCUCAACAAGGUGACUAUAAAGAACAAGUAUCCUUUGCCGAGAAUUGAUGAUUUAUUUGAUCAAUUAAAAGGGGCAACAGUGUUCUCUAAGAUCGAUUUGAGGUCUGGUUACUAUCAGUUAAGAGUUAAAGAGUCUGAUGUGCCGAAAACCGCCUUUAGAACAAGGUAUGGACACUAUGAAUUUCUGGUAAUGCCUUUUGGGUUAACAAAUGCUCCGGCUAUUUUUAUGGACUUGAUGAACUGAAUUUUUCGGCCGUACUUGGAUAAGUUCGUGGUGGUGUUCAUAGAUGAUAUUUUAAUCUAUUCUCGGGAUAAAUCUGAGCAUGCAGAACAUUUGAGAACUGUGUUGCAGAUUCUGAGAGAAAAGAAAUUGUAUGCUAAAUUCAGCAAAAGUGAGUUUUGGCUUCGUGAGGUUGGAUUCUUGGGACAUAUAGUUUCAAGUGAAGGUAUUCGGGUUGAUCCAAGCAAAAUUUCAGCAAUUGUUGAUUGGGAGCCACCAAAGAAUGUGACAGAAGUUAGAAGCUUUCUGGGCUUAGCUGGGUAUUACAGACGCUUUGUCAAGGGAUUUUCGAUGAUUGCUUCUCCUAUGACAAAGUUACUGCAGAAGAAUGUCAAGUUUGAAUGGACCGAUAAAUGUCAACAAAGUUUUGAAAAGUUGAAGGCAUUAUUGACUGAGGCGCCAGUGUUGGUGCAACCUGAGUCCGGGAAGGAGUUUGUAAUUUACAGUGAUGCAUCGUUGAAUGAUCUUGGGUGUGUGUUAAUGCAAGAGGGUAAAGUAAUAGCUUAUGCUUCGAGACAGUUGAAACCACAUGAGAAGAAUUAUCCGACGCAUGAUUUAGAAUUGGCUGCUAUUGUUUUUGCUUUAAAAAUUUGGCGUCAUUAUUUGUAUGGUGAAAAGUGCCGAAUCUUCACUGAUCAUAAGAGUUUGAAGUAUUUGAUGAGCCAAAAAGACUUGAAUUUGCGGCAACGAAGAUGGCUCGAGCUAAUUAAAGACUAUGAGCUAGUGAUUGAUUAUCACCCCGGGAAAGCUAAUGUGGUUGCUGAUGCCUUGAGCAGAAAAUCUUUAUUUACUUUGAGAGCUAUGAGUACGAGAUUAACUUUAUCUGAUGAUGGUUCAAUUUUGGCUGAAUUGAGAGUUAGACGUUAUUUCUUCAGCAGAUGCGGGAAGCUUAAAAGAAUGACAAUAAAUUGCAAGUCAGAAGAGCUCAGUGUGAAACAGGCUUUAAUUCAGAUUUUCAAAUUGGUUCAGAUGACUGCCUGAUGUUCCGAGAUAGAAUAUGUGUACCGAGAAAUGAUGAGCUAAUUCGGACCAUUUUAUGUGAGGCACACAAUGGUUGUUUAUCAGUCCAUCCAGGUAGUGUGAAAAUGUAUAAUGAUUUGAAGAAGUUGUACUGGUGGCCGGGCAUGAAAAAGGAUAUCUCGGAAUUUGUAUCGAAUUGUUUAAUUUGUCAACAAGUGAAAGCUGAGCAUCAAGUACCAUCGGGUUUACUUCAGCCGAUAACGAUUCCAGAGUGGAAGUGGGACAGUAUUACGAUGGAUUUUGUGACAGGAUUGCCUUUAACUCCAAAGAAGAAAGAUGCUAUUUGGGUAAUUGUUGAUAGAUUGACAAAGUCAGCCCAUUUUAUUCCGAUACGCAUUGAUUACUCACUUGACAGGUUGGCGGAAUUAUAUGUUGCUGAAAUAGUGAGAUUACACGGGGUGCCUAAAUCUAUUAUAUCGGAUAGAGAUCCGAGAUUUACUUCGAGGUUUUGGAUAAAGUUGUAGGAAGCCUUGGGUACGAAAUUGAAUUUUAGUACUGCGUUUCAUCCGUAAACUGACGGGCAAUCAGAAAGAGUGAUUCAAGUUCUUGAAGACAUGCUCCGAUGUUGUAUUUUAGAAUUGGAAGGCAGUUGGGAGAAAUAUCUACCAUUGGUUGAAUUUGCUUAUAACAAUAGCUAUCAGUCAAGUAUACGAAUGACACCGUAUGAAGCAUUAUAUGGGCGUAAGUGUAGAACUCCUUUAUAUUGGACUGAGCUCGGUGAGAACCAGAUUCAUGGAGUUGACUUGGUGAAAGAAACUGAAGAAAAGGUGAAAAUAAUUCGUGACUGUUUAAAGGCUGCUUCAGAUCGGCAAAAGUCGUAUGCAGAUUUAAAGAGGAAAGAAAUUGAGUUUCAAGUGGGUGAUAAAGUAUUCUUGAAAGUAUCUCCAUGGAAAAAGAUUCUGAGAUUUGGUCGUAAAGGCAAAUUGAGUCCACGUUUUAUUGGACCAUAUGAAGUUAUUGAAAGAGUUGACCCUGUAGCUUAUCGGUUAGCUUUACCGCCGGAGUUGAAAAAAUACAUAAUGUAUUUCAUGUGUCGAUGUUGCGACGUUAUCGUUCGGAUCCUUCACAUAUAGUUUCUCCUACAGAGAUUGAGGUUCGACCAUAUAUGACUUAUGAGGAGGAACCGAUAAAAAUUCUGGCUCGGGAGGUCAAACAGUUAAGGAAUAAAAGUGUAGCCUUAGUGAAAGUGUUGUGGCAGAAACAUGGAAUGGAAGAGGCUACGUGGGAACCGGAGGAAAUUAUGAGGAAACAGUACCCAAACCUCUUUUCCGGUAAGAUUUUCGGGGACGAAAAUCCCUAAGGGGGGAGAGUUGUAACAGCCCGAUUCUAGGCCUAGUCGGAAUAGUGGUUUCGAGACCACAAAUCCGACGAGGGAAAAUAUGGUUAUUAUUAUAUUUUUAUGGUCUACAAUUUCACGGAAAAUUUUCGUAAAAAUUUCGUUCGAAAAUUUUGACGUUUGGGCACUCAAUUUAGUCAAAAGGACUAAAUUUUAAAAAGUGCAAAAGUUGAGUUCUAUAUGUAGAAGUGUCUAAUUGAUAUGAAAUUAUAAGUUGCGGGUCCUUAUGUGGUAAUUAGACCCUUAGUAAUUGAUGGACAAAAUAGACCUAAGAAAUGAGAGAAAUAGAUUUUUUUUAAGUGGGGGCAUUUUAGUCAUUUGGUUAUAAAAAGAAUAAAAUGGGAAAAAGAUGACAAAAAUCAUCAUCUUCUCCAUAAGUUGCUGCUGAAUUUUAAGGGACACCAUAGCUAAGGUUUCUUUGCUUUCUCAAGCUCAUAGUAAGUGCAUCCUAGCCCCGUUUUUAAUGUUCUUUGCAUUUUUGAAAUCCUCGUAGCUCGGUUUAGCUUAUUUUACUGUUAAUUCAUGUUAGGGUUUAUAUUUGGAAAAAUACCCAUAGGUGAAAAGUGUUUAUUUUGCUGUUUUAUGGUGGAAUAUGAAGCUAGAAAUUAUGUUAAACAACUUUUGCUAAGCGAUUUUAAACGAAAACGAGUAAAUUGACAUAAUCGGUAAAAAUAGUUAAUGUUCAAAAGUAUGUGUUAGAGUGAGAAUUUGAUGUUGCCAUAGAAGGGAAAAAUAUUCAGCAUGUCAUAAGACAUAAGAAUAAGUGAUGAAAUUUAAUUUCCGAGCUUGGGGACAAAAAUGUAAUUAUGCAAAAGUUUGGGGGCAAAAUUGUAAUUUUUCAAAACUUUGGGUGGAGGAUUAUUUUAAUAAAUGUGAACCUUAAAUAAGUUAAAUUUGUUAUUAUAGAUCAAGAAAGACGAGAGGACUACCUCAAACGAGGAAAAGAAAAGAAGUGGAAUAAAUUGCAAAAUUACGAUAUUUUGCACCGAGGUAAGUAAACACGUGACUUAAUGUAUUAUUUUGGUAUUAUUUGAUUGAGAUUUAUUUGAAUAUAAAAUAAAUGUUUGGCAAGAUUCCAAAAAUGUCGUUAAAUUGGGAAAGGUGGUAAGGAGUUGCAAAACACGGUUUUUGGUUGAACACUCGGAAUAGGCCGAGCAUAUUGCAUAUAAAGGGGUUGUUGUGUGCUGAUUCCCCUAUUCAUUGGUGGUUGCUAAGUGCUGAUUCCACCGUAUUUUAAAUGUGGAAGGGGGUUGCUAAGUGCUGAUUCCCCCGAGGGGUUGCUAAGUGCUGAUUCCCCUACCUAUUGGUGGUUGCUAAGUGCUGAUUCCACCGUAUUUUAAAUGUGAAAGGGGGUUGCUAAGUGCUGAUUCCCCUGAGGGGUUGCUAAGUGCUGAUUCCCCUACCUAUUUGGUGGUUGCUAAGUGCUGAUUCCACCGCAUCUGAAAUGUGAAGGGGGUUGCUAAGUGCUGAUUCCCCCAAGGGGUUGCUGUGUGCUGAUUCCCCGAUUCAUUGGUGGUGCUAAGUGCGGAAUCCACCAACAACGGUUAACAUUCCGAGUGUUCAACGAGUAAAUUGAGAAGGUGAAUAUUCAUAUAUGUGGUGGACGAGUUUAUGGGAGGAAUAUCGGGUUUGAUACUUAAUCAACCCAUGUAUAAGAUGGGAGGAAAAAUCAAAAAUACAAAAGAAACAAUUUGAAUGCAAAACUGUUUUGAAUGGCAGCAGUUGGGCAACUUUGAAAAAUCACCAUAAAUGGUGAAAAAUGAAUUGGAGGUUGAAUAAAACAUGAAAUUGAAGCUGAAUGAGUCUAUUUUCAUAUGAAAGAAGUGGGGAAAGCAAAGGAAUUAUAUAUUUGGGGAUAUUUAAAUUUUACUGAGACAGGGUUGGAUUGAAUUCGAAAUCCCCUGUUCCAACUUUGGAAAAUCACCAAAGAUUCUAAAAAAAUAAUUAUGGCUUGAAAUUUAUAUGUCUGGAUUCCUUUUUGAGUCUAUUUUUAAUAUAAACAAACGAGAACAUUGUUUGAAACUUGUAUAGAGAGUUAUGUGAAUUUUUGUAAGGGGAGGUCAGGACUGUCGGGUAGUGAAACAGGGGAAACUUUAAUGAAUAAACUGUACUAAUUGGCCCAACCAAAAAUUCUGAAAAUUUUAUGGUGGAAAUAUAUAUGAAACUAGUUUCAGGGAAAAUUUACGGAAUCUGAUUUGGAGCCCUGUAGCUCCCGAUAAAAAUAAAUUAGUGACCAUGACGCAGAAAUACUGCUUGCUGGAAUUUGACCAAAUAAUGAAAUUUAUUUGUGAUAAAAGUUAUAUUUUGGUGUAAUCAUGUGGGAAAUUUAUCUACUUGUCAUAUGUUUACUUACUAAGCUAUAUGCUUACUUGCUUUUAUUUUUCCCUUGAUUAUAGUGAUAUCCAUCAACUUGGAAUUGGGACGGAGUCGGACAAUCAUCCACACUAUCAUCCGUGUUUGGGUAUUUUGCUACUGGUAUUCCAGAAAUUAUGGCAUGUAUAGACGACUUUAUGUAAUAUGGCGUCACUGUAUAUAUAUAUGUUAUGGUUCGAUCUAAAAUGUGGCGUUUAUAAAUAGUUAAAUUGUGUAUCUUUAUACAACUGUUUUGGUUGGAAAUUUGAAUUGUGGUUGGAAAUUGCAGGAGGUUUAAGCAAAAACAAGCAGAAAUGCUGUUGAAAUUUUUUUAAAAAAAAUUUAGUAAUACCUCGUACUCUGUUUCGGUAAGGAAUAAGAGUAAGGGGUGUUACAAGCAACAUCAAAACCUUCAUAAUUAAACACUCUUGAAAAGUUGCCUACACACCCUCUUUACUCAUCCUUAGGUUAAAACAUGUUCUUAUCACCCCUAAACACCACCAGUCAAAAUCAUAUCUUACUCGAGUUGAAAAAACCUCCUAGUUGAAGAGAAGACAAUCGAAAUCAUCCUUAACCCACCAACCCUUACCCAACAUGGAUCAAGAGGACACUGGACAUGAUUCCAUAAUAAGCUUGUUAAAAU